rnacentral:sRNA from 1 species
UAUCACUACCCAACGUCUCUCCACUGUUCUCUACUGGUGACUUCUUCUGUGCCCUUUACCUGUAUUUUAUUUUUAUUUUGGCUUUUAUGCCUUUUCACAGUCUUUGACUGUUGUCGAAUCUAUGCACUAGCAGCCACAGAGGCGGACUCGAGAUCCAGUCCUUGAGAGCCCGUUUCAAUGUCGCUAGCCUUCUCAUCGAGUCCGUGGAGAGGCUUGGAAAUGGGAGGCACGACGUACUGCCUCUUCUCGAUACCACCCUGCCAGGCAAGGUGAGUCGAGCCCAUCAGGAAGGUGUCAACUUCAGCAGCGGCUUGUCGGCCUUCGCGGAUACCCCAGACAACGAGGGACUGGCCUCGGUGACAAUCACCGGCGGCAAAGACGCCAGGAACGUUAGUAGAGUAGCUCUAUAGAUAAAUUAGCUCACGUAGUAUGGCAUGAAGAGAAAGAUGGCGCACGUUGGGAGCAGUCUUAAUGUUAGUUCGGGGGUCAGUCUCGACGCCAAGAGCCUUGAGGCACUCCUGCUGAGGACCGAGGAAACCAAGCGCAAGCAACACAAGCUGGGCGGGGUAGAACUGCACGAUAUGUCAGAUAGGUCCGAUAUGAGAAACAUCAACAAGGACUCACUUUCUCUGAUCCAACGGCCUCCUCCAUCUUCCACUGACCAUUCUGCUUAGUCCACUCGACUUGCACAGUAUCCAGACCCUUCAAUUUACCCUCAUCAUCGAGGACAAACUUCUUGGUGGCCAUGCAGUACUUCCUGGGGUCGUGGCCAAAGUGAGCUUGGACUUCGGCGUGUCCGUAGUCGGUACGGAAGGAGCGGUUGAACAUGGGCCAGGGGUUGUCAGGUGCACGGCUCUUUGGUGGUUCAGGAAGGAGCUCAAAGUUGACAAUGGAUUUGGCACCGUGUCGCAUAGAAGUACCGAUACAGUCAUUACCUGUUGGUUUGGAUUAGUUGCAGUCAAUUACAAUCGACAGUUUUUUUGGACUUACCAGUAUCGCCACCACCAAUAACGAUGACA